AAUCAACGCUGGCGGCGUGCCUCAGACAUGCAAGUCGAACGCGAAAGUCCCCUUCGGGGGACAAGUAGAGUGGCGCACGGGUGAGUAACACGUAGGUAAUCCACCUUCGGAUGGGGAAUAACAACCGGAAACGGUUGCUAAUACCGCAUAAUGCAGCGGCACCUAAUGGUGACAGUUGUUAAAGCGGGGAGUCGAAGACCUCGCGUCUGAAGAGGAGCCUGCGGCGGAUUAGCAGUUGGUAAGGUAACGGCUUACCAAGGCGACGAUCCGUAGCCGGCCUGAGAGGGGCGGACGGCCACACUGGGACUGAGACA
rnacentral:rRNA from 1 species